rnacentral:rRNA from 1 species
CGGGUGCGUUCGGGUGCUAGUGGCGGACGGGUGAGUAACGCGUGGGAACAUACCCUUUGGUACGGAAUAGCCUCGGGAAACUGAGAGUAAUACCGUAUGUGCCCUUCGGGGGAAAGAUUUAUCGCCAAAGGAUUGGCCCGCGUUGGAUUAGGUAGUUGGUGGGGUAAUGGCCUACCAAGCCGACGAUCCAUAGCUGGUUUGAGAGGAUGAUCAGCCACACUGGGACUGAGACACGGCCCAGACUCCUACGGGAGGCAGCAGUGGGGAAUCUUAGACAAUGGGGGAAACCCUGAUCUAGCCAUGCCGCGUGAUCGAUGAAGGCCUUAGGGUUGUAAAGAUCUUUCAGAUGGGAAGAUAAUGACGGUACCAUCAGAAGAAGCCCCGGCUAACUCCGUGCCAGCAGCCGCGGUAAUA